rnacentral:rRNA from 1 species
AUACGUAGGGUGCGAGCGUUAAUCGGAAUUACUGGGCGUAAAGCGUGCGCAGGCGGUUGUGUAAGACAGGUGUGAAAUCCCCGGGCUUAACCUGGGAACUGCGCUUGUGACUGCACGGCUAGAGUAUGGCAGAGGGGGGUGGAAUUCCACGUGUAGCAGUGAAAUGCGUAGAGAUGUGGAGGAACACCGAUGGCGAAGGCAGCCCCCUGGGCCAAUACUGACGCUCAUGCACGAAAGCGUGGGGAGC